GAUGAACGCUAGCUACAGGCUUAACACAUGCAAGUCGAGGGGAAACGAUAGAGAAAGCUUGCUUUUUCUAGGCGUCGACCGGCGCACGGGUGAGUAACGCGUAUCCAACCUGCCCAUCACUUGGGGAUAACCUUGCGAAAGUAAGACUAAUACCCAAUGAUAUCCGUCGAAGACAUCUGAAGUGGAUUAAAGAUUCAUCGGUGAUGGAUGGGGAUGCGUCUGAUUAGCUUGUUGGCGGGGUAACGGCCCACCAAGGCAACGAUCAGUAGGGGUUCUGAGAGGAAGGUCCCCCACAUUGGAACUGAGACACGGUCCAAACUCCUACGGGAGGCAGCAGUGAGGAAUAUUGGUCAAUGGGCGAGAGCCUGAACCAGCCAAGUAGCGUGCAGGAUGACGGCCCUAUGGGUUGUAAACUGCUUUUAUAAGGGAUAAAGUGAGUCUCGUGAGACUUUUUGCAUGUACCUUAUGAAUAAGGACCGGCUAAUUCCGUGCCAGCAGCCG
rnacentral:rRNA from 1 species